rfam:Cerapachys biroi unplaced genomic scaffold scaffold665, whole genome shotgun sequence.
GUUAAUAUUAUUAUCUUAAAUUUUACUAAAAUUGGAACGAUACAGAGGAGAUUAGCAUGGCCCUGCGCAAGAAUGACACGAAAAAUCGUGAAGCGUUUCCGCAUUUU